rnacentral:rRNA from 1 species
UACGUAGGGGGCAAGCGUUGUCCGGAAUCAUUGGGCGUAAAGAGCGUGUAGGCGGUCCGGUAAGUCGGCUGUGAAAGUCCAGGGCUCAACCCUGGGAUGCCGGUCGAUACUGCCGGACUAGAGUUCGGAAGAGGCGAGUGGAAUUCCCGGUGUAGAGGUGAAAUUCGUAGAUAUUGGGAAGAACACCGGUGGCGAAGGCGGCGAGCUGGCCUGUACCUGACGCUGAGGCGCGACAGCGUGGGGAGCGAACAGG